rnacentral:rRNA from 2 species
GAUGAACGCUAGCGACAGGCUUAACACAUGCAAGUCGAGGGGCAGCAUAGAAGUAGCAAUACUUUGGUGGCGACCGGCGCACGGGUGAGUAACGCGUAUGCAACCUACCUAUCAGAGGGGAAUAACCCGGCGAAAGUCGGACUAAUACCGCAUAAAACAGGGGCACCGCAUGGUGAUAUUUGUUAAAGAAAUUCGCUGAUAGAUGGGCAUGCGUUCCAUUAGGUAGUUGGUGAGGUAACGGCUCACCAAGCCGACGAUGGAUAGGGGAACUGAGAGGUUGGUCCCCCACACUGGUACUGAGACACGGACCAGACUCCUACGGGAGGCAGCAGUGAGGAAUAUUGGUCAAUGGGCGGGAGCCUGAACCAGCCAAGUCGCGUGAAGGAAGAAGGAUCUAUGGUUCGUAAACUUCUUUUGCAGGGGAAUAAAGUGCAGGACGUGUCCUGUUUUGUAUGUACCCUGAGAAUAAGGAUCGGCUAACUCCGUG